rnacentral:rRNA from 1 species
AUUGAACGCUGGCGGCAGGCCUAACACAUGCAAGUCGAGCGGUAGAGAGGUGCUUGCACCUCUUGAGAGCGGCGGGACGGGUGAGUAAUGCCUAGGAAUCUGCCUGGUAGUGGGGGAUAACGCUCGGAAACGGACGCUAAUACCGCAUACGUCCUACGGGAGAAAGCAGGGGGACCUUCGGGCCUUGCGCUAUCAGAUGA